GCGUGAAUGAUGAAGGCCCUAGGGUUGUAAAAUUCUUUCAGCAGGGAAGAUAAUGACGGUACCUGCAGAAGAAGCCCCGGCUAACUCCGUGCCAGCAGCCGCGGUAAUACGGAGGGGGCUAGCGUUGUUCGGAAUUACUGGGCGUAAAGCGCGCGUAGGCGGGUCGUUAAGUUAGAGGUGAAAGCCCGGAGCUCAACUCCGGAACUGCCUUUGAUACUGGCGGCCUAGAGUCCGGGAGAGGUGAGCGGAAUUCCGAGUGUAGAGGUGAAAUUCGU
rnacentral:rRNA from 1 species